AUGUCACGGCAUCCAGUCAGUGAAGUCACCACACACCACACAAUGCUUCCGACCACGGCGACCGCCUCAACGCCCCCGCCGCCACCGGCCGAGCCGCCUGGCGAGCCGCACGCCGCCCUCUUCCUCGCCCUGGGCUACAUGCGGCUGCCCGAGCUGCUAGCCUGCUGGCGCGUAUGCCGCCUCCUCGGCGAGGCCGUCGCGGGGGACCCCCUCCUGUGGCGUCGCCUCGCGGUAGAGCCGCCGCUCAGUGGCCGGGUGACCGACCAAGUCCUCCUCAAGUUGACUGCGAGGGCGGAGGGGACGCUGCGGUCUCUCCGCCUGUUCGGGUGCCUCCACGUUUCCGACGCCGGCCUGCUCCGCGUCGUCGAGCACAAUCCCCGCGUCACCGAGAUUUAUGUUCCUGGAUGUAAAGGCUUGACUGGUGAUGGGGUGGUGAACAUUGUUCAGCUUCUGCACGAACACAAGGGAAAUAUAAGUCGUCUCCGACUCGAUGGCAUUAGCAGGAUGAGUAAGCAUCAUCUUGAUAUUAUCAUGUCUCUCAUGUGCAAAGGAAACCCACAAGGGCAACAAGAUGGAAUCCCACUUUUCUACAACCAUAGAGCCCGUGAAGCUCUGAACACCAAUGAUGAACGCCCUAUUGAUGUUGAUGUUUGCUCAGUCUGUGCGAACAUCAGGCUUGUGUUUGAUUGUACGAGGGAUGACUGUAGGAAAGUGAGGGACAGCUUGUGGCGGUGUCGAGGCUGCUACUUCUGCUUUCCUAGAUGCGAAAAAUGUGGUGGCUGUAUCAGUCCGGAGGAUCUAGUCGAGGCUGAUCUUGCUUGUUCAGAUCUUAUGUGCUUGGAUUGUUGGCUUACGGUCCCUAAAUGCAGCACAUGCAAUCGGCCUUACUGUGAGAGGCAUGAAAAUUUGAUGGUGUCCUUGUCGAUGGCUGGCCAGUUUUCAUGCCAGCGUUGCAAGGAGCUCGAUGCAUCGCAGGAGGAUCAGGAAGAUGACUAUUAG
rnacentral:rRNA from 1 species